rnacentral:misc_RNA from 1 species
UCUCCGUAGGUGAACCUGCGGAGGGAUCAUUACUGAGUGAGGGCCUUCGGGCUCGACCUCCAACCCUUUGUGAACACAACUUGUUGCUUCGGGGGCGACCCUGCCGUUUCGACGGCGAGCGCCCCCGGAGACAUUCUAAACUCUGCAUCUUUGCGUCUGAGUCUUAAUUAAAUCAAACAAAACUUUCAACAACGGAUCUCUUGGUUCUGGCAUCGAUGAAGAACGCAGC